rnacentral:misc_RNA from 1 species
GAUGAAGAACGCAGCGAAAUGCGAUAAGUAGUGUGAAUUGCAGAAUUCAGUGAAUCAUCGAAUCUUUGAACGCACAUUGCGCCCCUUGGUAUUCCAUGGGGCAUGCCUGUUCGAGCGUCAUUUGUACCUUCAAGCUCUGCUUGGUGUUGGGUGUUUGUCUCGCCUCUGCGUGUAGACUCGCCUCAAAACAAUUGGCAGCCGGCGUAUUGAUUUCGGAGCGCAGUACAUCUCGCGCUUUGCACUCAUAACGACGACGUCCAAAAGUACAUUUUUACACUCUUGACCUCGGAUCAGGUAGGGAUACCCUCUGAACUUAAGCAUAUCAAUAAGCGGAGGA